AGAGUUUGAUCAUGGCUCAGAACGAACGCUGGCGGCAGGCUUAACACAUGCAAGUCGAACGGGCGCAGCAAUGCGUCAGUGGCAGACGGGUGAGUAACGCGUGGGAACAUACCCUCCGGUUCGGAAUAACUCAGGGAAACUUGAGCUAAUACCGGAUACGGCUUAGCGGCGAAAGAUUCAUCGCCGGAGGAUUGGCCCGC
rnacentral:rRNA from 1 species